AGUCAGCCGUUCAGUUUAAAUUUUGCGCUGUUCUCCGAAAACAUUAGUUCUUAAUUAUAUUAAUAUGCUUACUUUUUUUUAAUUUAAUAUUUAUAUUCUAAGGUAAUUAAAAGAGACAUGCGAAGAGACUUUCUUUUGGUAUAAUAUGAAUGGUAAACUUGAACUUUUAUAUUUCUGUUUUGUUGUAAUUUUUACUGAAAUUUAAUUUUUUAUAUUCGUUUUUUUCAGAUGAUUUUUCCUCUAUAGGAAGCUGAAAGGGAAGUUAGGAAUGCAAAGAUUUUUAGUUGGAGAUGAGUUCUAUCACACUGUGGUGACGAAAUGUUCCAUUUCCAGUUCUUAAAGAGUACAAGCAUUAUGCAUUCAGAAGACAAGAUGAUGGCUUUCGAUCCUGAUUUCCCGAUCCCAGGAGGCACAAACUAUAAUCAAGGGUAGGUGGGACAAAACUAUUCGCUCUCUCCUCCGCUGGCUCAUUCAGUAUGGGUGUGCCUCGCGGCCGUAAACCGAUGUGCUUGUUUUCAUAUUUUUUUGCAUCUUGCUUAUGACCGCAUUUGCGAAUUUCAUUAUUGAUCAAAAUAAAUCCAUGGUGUCCGAAAAAUAAAAGUGGGGUUUUGUG